rnacentral:rRNA from 1 species
GAUGAACGCUGACAGAAUGCUUAACACAUGCAAGUCAACUUGAACUUCGGUUUGGGUGGCGGACGGGUGAGUAACGCGUAAAGAACUUGCCUCACAGAUAGGGACAACAUUUGGAAACGAAUGCUAAUACCUGAUAUUAUGAUUUUAGGGCAUCCUAGGAUUAUGAAAGCUAUAUGCGCUGUGAGAGAGCUUUGCGUCCCAUUAGCUAGUUGGAGAGGUAACGGCUCACCAAGGCGAUGAUGGGUGGCCGGCCUGAGAGGGUGAUCGGCCACAAGGGGACUGAGACACGGCCCUUACUCCUACGGGAGGCAGCAGUGGGGAAUAUUGGACAAUGGACCAAGAGUCUGAUCCAGCAAUUCUGUGUGCACGAUGAAGUUUUUCGGAAUGUAAAGUGCUUUCAGUUGGGAAGAAAAAAAUGACGGUACCAACAGAAGAAGUGACGGCUAAAUACGUG